rnacentral:rRNA from 1 species
CGUUUGUCGCGUCGAUUGUGAAAAUCUGAGGCUCAACCUCAGACCUGCAGUCGAUACGGGCAAACUAGAGUGUGGUAGGGGAGACUGGAAUUCCUGGUGUAGCGGUGGAAUGCGCAGAUAUCAGGAGGAACACCAAUGGCGAAGGCAGGUCUCUGGGCCAUAACUGACACUGAGGAGCGAAAGUGCGGGGAGCGAACAGGAUUAGAUACCCUGGUAGUCCGCACCGUAAACGGUGGGCACUAGUUGUGGGAACCUUCCACGGUUUCCGCGACGCAGCAAACGCAUUAAGUGCCCCGCCUGGGGAGUACGAUCGCAAGAUUAAAACUCAAAGGAAUUGACGGGGCCCCGCACAAGCAGCGGAGCAUGCGGCUUAAUUCGACGCAACGCGAAGAACCUUACCAAGGCUUGACAUAUAGUGAAAAGUGGCAGAGAUGUCAUGUCCGCAAGGGCGCUAUACAGGUGGUGCAUGGUUGUCGUCAGCUCGUGUCGUGAGAUGUUGGGUUAAGUCCCGCAACGAGCGCAACCCUCGUUCUGUGUUACCAGCAUUAAGUUGGGGACUCACAGGAGACUGCCGGGGUCAACUCGGAGGAAGGUGGGGAUGACGUCAAAUCAUCAUGCCCCUUAUGUCUUGGGCUGCACGCAUGCUACAAUGGCCGGUACAAAGUGCUGCGAGAUCGCAAGAUUGAGCGAAUCACAUAAAGCCGGUCUCAGUUCGGAUUGAGGUCUGCAACUCGACCUCAUGAAGUCGGAGU